AUUUGGGAUAAGUUCUGCUCUCCAACAGACUUAUCAUGUGUGGGGAUGGUAUUUCUGAGCUUGUGCGUCUGUAAGGCCAUGCACUCUACUGUGCUGAAUCCAAGAGAAGACUUCCAAGUGAUUGCCAGGUGUCUACACAAAGCUGGACUGCAUCAACAGUUCCCCAUUUUCAACUGCUCUGUGGCCGAGGGAAGCUGAGUGCUGCAGGAAUCUGAGUGGUGACUCUGGAC